rnacentral:rRNA from 1 species
AUUGAACGCUGGCGGCAUGCCUUACACAUGCAAGUCGAACGGCAGCACGGGGCAACCUGGUGGCGAGUGGCGAACGGGUGAGUAAUGCAUCGGAACGUACCUUUCAGUGGGGGAUAACGUAGCGAAAGUUACGCUAAUACCGCAUAUUCUGUGAGCAGGAAAGCAGGGGAUCGCAAGACCUUGCGCUGAUUGAGCGGCCGAUGUCAGAUUAGCUAGUUGGCGAGGUAAAGGCUCACCAAGGCGACGAUCUGUAGCGGGUCUGAGAGGAUGAUUCGCCACACUGGAAAUGAGACACUGUCCAGAAUCCUGCGGGAGUCGGCGGUGGGGAAUUUUGGACAAUGGGGGCAACCCUGAUCCAGCCAUGCCGCGUGAGUGAAGAAGGCCUUCGGGUUGUAAAGCUCUUUCGGCCGGGAAGAAAUCGCACGGGCUAAUACCCUGUGUGGAUGACGGUACCGGAAUAAGAAGCACCGGCUAACUACGUGCCAGCAGCCGCCGUAACAC